UGUCGCCGGUAGCCUCCGCCCGGCUGACUCGGGCCUCUCGGGGUGGGGAGAGGGCCGACUUGCGCGUGCUAACUGGAGUUGGGGAGCGGCAGUUGCAGAGUCCGGGCUGAAGUCGCAGCGCCCCUCUUCCUGAAGGCGGGAAAGCUGGGGGUCGGGGGAGGCUGUGCGGGGGUCCUCCGAGGCUGGACUCGUUGCGGUGGGCCUCAGCCUCCUAACCUCCCCUCCCCCUCUUACAGGAGGUUCUAAUAACUUUUAAUUGUGUCUUGGCUUCCCUUGUGGCUCAGCUGGUAAAGAAUCAGCCUGCAGUACGGGAGACCUGGGUUCGAUCCCUGGGUUGGGAAGAUCCGCCGGCCAAGGGAAAGGCUACCCACUCCAGUAUCCUGGCCUGGAGACUUCCAUGGACUUUCCAUGGGGUCGCAAAGAGUCGGACACGACUGAGCAACUUUCACUUCACUCCACUUGCGUCUUGGGGCGUUCUGGCUUAAAAUUCAUCCCUAGGCUAGCAGGUCCCUGGAUUCAGCCAAAUCUCUCUGCGCUCCUUCCUCUCUGAGAUGCAAGUACCGAGGGCAGGGGAGCGGGGAUUGGACUGAAGGGACCCCUGGAGCGCUGGCCUCCGCCCAGAAAAGAAGUCGGGACCAGCGGUAUCACAGACGCCCCGGACCCUUCUGGCGGAAUCGAGGGGGACAGUUAGGUCGUCCCUGCCGCCUCAACGACCUGGAAGCCUGGCUUCCAGCCCCAGAACUUUCCGGGCUCCGGGAAGAAUCCAGGCUGGAGGCUGGAACUUAAGAAGUGCUGCCCCGUGAGUUCCAGAGGUGGAGGCGGAAGGGUGAACGGAGUCGUGUGGUGGAGAAGGGAGAGGUCUUGCUGUCUCUAAGCUGAACCUGGUCACCUUUUUUUGAGCCAAGAAGAGCCCUGGGAUGUGAAGAAAAGGAGACAACAGUCAUGCACCCAGGUUCAUAGAUUGCCCAGUCUGCCAGAAUGUUCCCGAGGCUGUCAGAUGGAAUCAAAAUGAAGACGCGCUUGCCAUGUGUGUCAAACACUCGCUGGCAAAACCAAAGGCACACCAUACCAGAGAAAACCAAACUUUGAAACGAUACACGCACCCCAGUGUUCCAUUCAGCACUGUUCACAACAGCCAAGACACAGAAGCAACCUACA